rnacentral:lncRNA from 1 species
AGGAACAGCUCCCCGUUCUCAUCAGGGCCGUCCUGCACCUCCACCUGGGCAGGUGAGACACAGGUGAGACACAGGUGAGACAUGGACAGGUGAGACAGGGACACACACACACACACAGGAACAGCUCCCCGUUCUCAUCCGGGCCAUCCUGCACCUCCACCUGGGCAGGUGAGACAUGGACAGGUGAGACAUGGACAGACACACGGACAGGUGAGAUAUGGACAGACACAUGGACAGGUGAGACAUGGACAGGUGAGAUAUGGACAGGUGAGACAUGGACAGACACAUGGACAGGUGAGACACAGACGGACACACGGACAGGUGAGACACGGACAGGUGAGACAUGGACAGACACGGACAGGUGAGACAUGGACAGGUGAGAUAUGGACAGACACACGGACAGGUGAGACACAGACGGACACACAGAGCUGCAGGAACAGCUCCCCGUUCUCAUCAGGACCGUCCUGGACUUGGACCUGGGGACAGGUGAGACACAGGUGA